CCUACGGGAGGCUGCAGUGGGGAAUAUUGCACAAUGGGGGAAACCCUGAUGCAGCGACGCCGCGUGAGCGAAGAAGUAUCUCUGUAUGUAAAGCUCUAUCAGCAGGGAAGAAAAUGACGGUACCUGACUACGAAUCCCCGGCUACCUACGUGCCAGCCGCCGCGGCAAUACGUAGGGGGCAAGCGUUAUCCGGAUUUACUGGGUGUAAAGGGAGCGCAGGCGGCGCGGUCAGUCUGAUGUGAAAGCCCGGGGCGCAACCCCGGGACUGCAUUGGAAACUGGCGGGCUGGAGUGGCGGAGGGGCAAGUGGAAUUCCUAGGGUAGCGGUGAAAUGCGUAGAUAUUAGGAGGAACACCAGUGGCGAAGGCGGCUUGCUGGACGACAACUGACGCUGAGGCUCGAAAGCGUGGGGAGCAAACAGGAUUAGAUACCCUUGUAGUC
rnacentral:rRNA from 1 species